GACAGAGGGGGCAAGCGUUGCUCGGAAUCACUGGGCGUAAAGGGCGCGUAGGCGGGAUGGCAAGUCGGUCGUGAAAUCCUUCGGCCCAACCGAAGAACGUCGGCCGAUACUGCCGUUCUUGAGGGAUGCAGAAGAGACUGGAAUUCCCGGUGUAGCGGUGAAAUGUGUAGAGAUCGGGAGGAACACCGGUGGCGAAGGCGGGUCUCUGGGCAUUUCCUGACGCUGAGGCGCGAAAGCGUGGGGAGCAAACGGG
rnacentral:rRNA from 1 species